rnacentral:rRNA from 1 species
ACGCUCAGUAAUGACCUCGGUCUACGGCCCCGUCUGAUCUCAGAAGCUCAGCAGGGUCGGGCCUGGUUAGUACUUGGAUGAGAGACCACCUAGGAAGACCAGGUGCUGAAGGCU